rnacentral:snRNA from 1 species
AUCGCUUCUCGUCUUAUUUUCAGGCUUAGAUCGAAGUGUAAUAUCUGUUCUCAUCGGUUUGAAAGCCGGCACUGUCUUACGAGACUGGGCUGUUUCAAACGGAUUUUUGGGCAUGUGCUGGGGGAUCUUAGGGUUCACCCUUAGCCCUAGCACAGAUCAUCCCGAGGGUGUGGGUGUGGGUGAGGGACC